UGAGUACGAGAUGCUACGGCAUCGAAGCAGUCUAUGUCAUACUUCCAAGAAAAGCUUGCACUGUCAUAAACAAAGAAUGCCUGUACCAUAACCGACACAGGUGGGUAGGUAGAGUAUACUAAGGGGCGCGAGAUAACUCUCUCUAAGGAACUCGGCAAAAUGACUCCGUAACUUCGGGAGAAGGAGUGCCUUAUUUCUAAGGUUGCAAUAACAAGAUCCAAGCAACUGUUUACCAAAAACACAGGUCUCCGCUAAGUCGUAAGACGAUGUAUGGGGGCUGACGCCUGCCCAGUGCCAGAAGGUUAAAGAAGUUGGUUAGCAUUAGCGAAGCUGAUAACUGAAGCCCUGGUGAACGGCGGCCGUAACUAUAACGGUCCUAAGGUAGCGAAAUUCCUUGUCGGGUAAGUUCCGACCCGCACGAAAGGCGUAAUGAUUUGGAUACUGUCUCGGAGAGGGGCUCGGUGAAAUAGACUUGUCUGUGAAGAUGCGGACUACCUGCACCUGGACAGAAAGACCCUAUGAAGCUUUACUGUAACUUGAGAUUGAAAUUGGACUUUAUUUGCGCAGUAUAGGUGGGAGGCGUUGAGAAUAAUCUUGCGGGAUUGUUGGAGCCAUCAGUGAGAUACCACUCUUGUAAUGUUAGAUUUCUAACUUUGUAUCAUUAUCUGGUCAAAGAACAGUUUCAGGCGGGCAGUUUGACUGGGGCGGUCGCCUCCCAAAGGGUAACGGAGGCGCACAAAGGUUUCCUCUGAACGGGUAGAAAUCGUAUCUAGAGUGUAAAGGCAUAAGGAAGCUUGACUGUGAGACCUACAAGUCGAGCAGGGACGAAAGUCGGUCUUAGUGAUCUGACGGUGCUGAGUGGAAAGGCCGUCACUCAACGGAUAAAAGUUACUCUAAGGAUAACAGGCUGAUCUCCCCCAAGAGUUCACAUCGACGGGGAGGUUUGGCACCUCGAUGUCGGCUCAUCGCAUCCUGGGGCGGUAGUCCGUCCCAAGGGUUGGGCUGUUCGCCCAUGAAAGCGGUACGCGAGCUGGGUUCAGAACGUCGUGAGACAGUUCGGUCCAUAUCCGGUGUAGGCGUUAGAAUAUUGAGAGGAGCCUUCCCUAGUACGAGGGGACCGAGAAGGACAUACCUCUGGUGUACCAGUUAUCGUGCCAACGGUAAACGCUGGGUAGCUAUGUAUGGAGUGGAUAACCGCUGUAAGCAUCUAAGUGGGAAGCCCACCUCAAGAUAAGUAUUCUCAU
rnacentral:rRNA from 1 species